AUCCCAUCUCUGAUUGUUUGGACACGGGGAAAUGGUUUCAAAAUAAAAGAGGGAAGAUUUAGAUUGGAUAUAAGGAAGAGGUUUUUUACAAUAAGGGAGGUGAGGAGUGGCACAGGUUGGUUGCCCAGAGGUGGCGGUGCCCCAUCCCUGCAGACACCCGAGGUCAGGCUGGAGGGGCCCUGAGCACUGAUGGAGCUGUGGUGUCCCUGUUUGUUGCAGGGAAUUGGACCAGAUGGCCUUUAGGGGUCCCUUCCAACUCAAACGAUUCUGUGACUCUAUGAUUAUAUGAAUUCCCCCAACAGAAGUUCUGUCCAAGUUAGAGCUGUCAAGUACACCACUAGACUAAGUUGUAUCACUGAUAUAACACUUUAACACAUAAGUAAGGGAUCACACCUUUACGUUAAUCCUCAAAUAUGCUGACAGGUUCUCAAAAAGGGAUAUAACUACACAAGUGCAAGCACUGAGGGCAGUUCCAAUGACCUCAGAGCACAGCAAGGGGAUGAUGAUGCCACCUGCCCAGUUCUGCUCCUGCACUGAUGCUGGGGUCUGGGCUCAUAGGACGAGUUACAGCAGCUGUACUUUUCUCAGCCUGCAGCACAACUCUCCCAGACCUCCUGGGAAUGCUGUGGAGCAACCAUUUGAGACCAUGGGUAUCGUCCACCUUAAUUGUAUGACUUCACACAUGCUGUGCCAGAAGUUGGAGGCACGGGUUGCAUUGCUGCUGACCACUUGGCUGUCCAGUGUUGCCACCAAGCAACCAGAGAGGAAAAGGGGCCCAUUGCUCCUUGUCCAAGCUGAUGGCUCUUCUGUGCAGACAGCAGAGACUCAGCCUGAAAAUUCAGACCCAGCAGAACAGGGAGUGGAAGCUUCCAUCAGCACUGAUUUCAAACCUCAAUGAUCCUGCAACCUCCAACCCUAUUUACAACAAAGUUGGAACUCCUGUGAUGUCUGAACUAAGUCUAGAUUUAUGCAAGCACAGCUGGGGAAAAGGAAGAAAGAAAGGAUGAAAAGAAGAAAGGAAGAAAGAAAAUAACUCCUCUAUUUUAAGACCUCAGUUCCACUACCAUUUCUCUCUCCCUGCAGCAGAGAUUUCCCUUUGCACAGUAAUAACACAGUCCAGCUUAGAGAUCUAGGCGAAACCUAGCCACGUAAUUACUACAUUUCCACAGAUAUUCUUGUACUGCAGUAACACUCCCUAGUGCAGGGGUAGUUUAAACAAAGAACUCAGUGUGGGGAUGCAGUUAAAACAUCAAGCACGUCUUUUUUAUGGUGCAAUACAGACCCAUUUUUUAAUUAUGCCCAAAUCCGCGUUGCAGGUUGGUCCUUUGGAAACGAUAACUGGUGUUUUUAUUUUCACAGAGAACAGUUAAGCGAGCAGUUUACCUUGCCAACCUCCAAAUCAGUUUUGAAUGAUGAAAGGAAUAACCUCACACACGCACGUGCUUUUCCCCUUGCCUUCAGUCAGUUGUGAAAUAAGCUGCUCAGCGCUGCAUCCAUAAUGGGGACUGCAGUGCAGAUGGCAAAAGCACAAGCACAACUCAUACUGUGGCUCCGCCAAUCGAGGUGUACUGCAUAAGCAGAGCAGCUGAAAAAAGCAAAACACACUGAUAGCAAGGAGGGAAAGAGAGGCUGCUGCUCCUGGAACAUUUUCACCUUCAUCUUUCUAUCUAUAGAAGAUGCUGUCUGGGGUAGCAAUUACAUGGAACAACGUCCGGAAGAUCCUGAGUGCGAUGCUGUCUGCACUGCAGUCACUGGGAAUGAGGAUUUCACCCCAGGAUCAUUUUAAGUCUGUGUUCCAGUGACAUUCUUUGCUUUGUUGAUGAGAGAAUGCAGAGGGGAAAGAAAGCAAGAAUCUCACACCUCCACCCUACUGUUCUGUUGGUCACCAGCAUGGAAAAUGCCCACAGCCACCACCAGUCCUGGGGCCUCA
ensembl:lncRNA